rnacentral:rRNA from 1 species
UACGUAGGGUGCAAGCGUUGUCCGGAAUUAUUGGGCGUAAAGAGCUCGUAGGCGGUUUGUCGCGUCUGCUGUGAAAACUCAGGGCUUAACUCUGAGCUUGCAGUGGGUACGGGCAGACUUGAGUGCGGUAGGGGAGACUGGAAUUCCUGGUGUAGCGGUGAAAUGCGCAGAUAUCAGGAGGAACACCGGUGGCGAAGGCGGGU